rnacentral:rRNA from 1 species
AGUGGCGAACGGGUGAGUAAUACAUCGGAACGUGUCCGCUCGUGGGGGACAACCAGCCGAAAGGUUGGCUAAUACCGCAUGAGUUCUACGGAAGAAAGAGGGGGACCCGCAAGGGCCUCUCGCGAGCGGAGCGGCCGAUGACUGAUUAGCCGGUUGGUGAGGUAACGGCUCACCAAAGCAACGAUCAGUAGCUGGUCUGAGAGGACGACCAGCCACACUGGGACUGAGACACGGACCAGACUCCUACGGAAGGCAGCAG